rnacentral:rRNA from 1 species
UACAGAGGGUGCGAGCGUUAAUCGGAAUUACUGGGCGUAAAGCGCGCGUAGGCGGCUUUGCAAGUCGGGUGUGAAAUCCCCAGGCUUAACCUGGGAACUGCAUUCGAGACUGCAUUGCUAGAGUAUGGGAGAGGGAAGUGGAAUUUCCGGUGUAGCGGUGAAAUGCGUAGAUAUCUGCAGGAACACCCGUGGCGAAGGCGGCUGGCUGGACCGCAACUGACGCUGAGGAACGAAAGCUAGGGGAGCAAACAGG